UACGGAGGAUCCAAGCGUUAUCCGGAUUUAUUGGGUUUAAAGGGUGCGUAGGCGGAUUAGUAAGUCAGUGGUGAAAGCCUGCAGCUCAACUGUAGAACUGCCAUUGAUACUGCUAGUCUUGAAUAUAGUUGAGGUAGGCGGAAUAUGACAUGUAGCGGUGAAAUGCUUAGAUAUGUCAUAGAACACCGAUUGCGAAGGCAGCUUGCUAAACUAUUAUUGACGCUGAGGCACGAAAGCGUGGGUAGCAAACAGG
rnacentral:rRNA from 1 species